CUAGAUUCACAUCUGACUUGAAAAGGCCUUCUCCACUCGGAUUAUAAAAACAUUUUCCUAUGGACUUAAGUGUUUGACCCAUUUUGGAAUUCAUUUUGAUGUAGCAUGUGAGCUGUUGGACUAUGAUGUGGAAUUGUCAACAACCAUCUUGCUGCCACCUGGAGAAAGUCUGAGAAGGAAGCAGAACAGCAGAGGCAAGAGAGCCAGAGACAUAAAGAGAGAAGGAGAAUGCUGACAGAAUUGGAACUCUGGAUUUAGCUGGGCUCGGCCCCCCACCUGGCCUUCACAGUUAAGAGAAACACAACGAGAGAGGGAACACAAGCAGGGGGAGUGGGAGAGGGAGAAGCAGGCCUCCCGCGGAGCAGGGAGCCCGAUGUGGGGCUCGAUCCCAGGACCCCGAGACCACGAACCGAGCCGAAGGCAGACGCUUAACGACUGAGCCACCCAGG